ACAUGCAGUCGAGCGGUAACAGGUCCAGCUUGCUGGACGCUGACGAGCGGCGGACGGGUGAGUAAUGCAUAGGAAUCUACCCGGUAGUGGGGGAUAACCUGGGGAAACCCAGGCUAAUACCGCAUACGUCCUACGGGAGAAAGGGGGCCUUUGGCUCCCCUUUUCGAAUGAGCUUAUUUCGAAUUAGCUGGUUGGUGAGGUAACGCCUCCCCAAGGCAACAAUCCUUACCUGGUCUGAAAGGAUAAUCAGCCCCUUCGGGACUGAACCACGGCCCGACCCCCUCCGGAAGGCACCGUUGGGGAAUAUUGAACAAGGGGCCCAGCCCUGACCCACCCUUGCCCCGUGUGUGAAGAAGGCUUUGGGUUUGUAAAGCACUUUCACCAAGGAAAAACCCCGGGCGUUUAAUACCCGCCAGGAAAGACUUCACUCCCAAAAAAACCACCGCCUAACUCCUUGCCACCACCCCCGUUAUUACGAAGGGUGCAGCCUUUAAUCGAAUUUACGGGGCUUAAAGCCCGCUUAGGUGGCAUGACAAGCCGGUUGUGAAACCCCCGGGCUCAACCUGGGAACGGCAUCGGAACCUGUACCGCUAAAUUGCAGGAAAGGAAGGUGAAUUUCCCGUUGUACCGUUGAAUUGCUUAAAGUUCGGAAGGAAUCCCAUUGCCGAAGGCGGCCUUCUGGACUGACCCUACCCUUAAGGUGCAAAACCUUGGUUAGCAAACAGGAUAAGAUACCCUGUUAUUCCACUCCUUAAACAAUUUCAACCAGCCUUUGGUUGCCUUGUCCACUUUGUGGCGAAUUAACGCGAUAAUUCAACGCCCUGGGAAGUACGGCCCCAAGGUAAAACUCAAAUGAAUUGACGUGGGCCCGCACAACCGUGGAACAUGUGUUUAAUUCCAUGCACCCGAAGAACUUACCUACCCUGACAUCCUGCAACCCGAAAAAAUCCGGGUGCCUUCCGAACGCAAAACAGUGCUGCAGGCUGUCUUACCUCGGGUGUGAAUGUUGGGUAAGUCCAUUACGAGCCAACCCUUGUCCUAUUUGCAAGCCGUAUGGUGGGACUCUAGGGAAACGCCCGUGACAACCCGAAGAAGUGGGGACAAGUCAGUCAUAUGCCCUUACGGUAGGCUACCCCUUCUAAAUGCCGGUC
rnacentral:rRNA from 1 species